GAGGAGGAUAAGGCUAAAGACAGAGGCUCCAGCUACCUUGGUGACAAGGAAUGGAGGAGAAAAGGAACAGGAAAUUUUAAUAAGAUUAGGAGGGCUUGCUUUUCUGCCAAGUGAGCCGCUUUCACAGGAGCGAUAAAUUGGAAAUGUUAUCUGGCUUGAUAUGCCAGUUUUUCUGAGAAAAUCACUCUGCCAGUGGUGACAGAAUGGAAGAGCUGAAAACAUCUUCUUUUUUCAAAGUCAUAUGUCACGAACCAAGGAGACUCCAAAAAAUAAAUUAUGGAAGAUUAUGACCACUGCUGCCAAGGAUACAGUGAAAUAGAUCCAUUAAAGAAUUGAGAUUGCAGGACACACUACCACCCUGAAAACUGGAGAGAGGAAAAAUACAGAGAGGAAGCAGAUCAGCUUACCUGAAGCAGAGGCCGCUGGAAUCUGUGACAGGUCCGAGGAAGUUCCUGAGAUAACUUUGUGAGUGGUCCACUAUUUCUGCAUUUCACAGCAUUGCUAUACUCCAAACUUUGUUCUACUCAUUGUUCAACUCAAUGCCUUGAACCUGGCAUAUAAUAGAUGCUGAAUACAUGAGUUAUAAUUGAAAACAA
rnacentral:lncRNA from 1 species